CUGGCAUGCUGUCUCACGGGCACCGUCCCUCCGUGUGUGCAUCCGCGGGCACAGGGUCGACCUCUGGUCGCUGCUGGACCGCUCCUGUCUGCCCAUCUGAACCCUCCAUCCUCCGGGUACCGCUCCCGUCCCCCAGAAGGGCGAGUCUCUCUCUGGGCUUCAGAGGUGACAAUUAUCCCCACAUUCACUGUGUGGGGAACAUCCGUUAGAGUGAAAAUGACAGGGGGACUCUUACUUCCUCCUCAUCAGAGCCCCCUGAGGUGGGUCAGCUCGUCCCACCAUGCAGGUGAGCACACCUGAGGCUGGAGAUGUCACUCAACUGCCAGGGCCAGGCAUGAGUCAGGGCAGGUUCUCAUCCGCCUCAGAAAACACAGGUUUUCUCACUCCCUUUAGCACAAUCUCAUUCCCCGGUAAUUAAAAACGUCCAGCGCCAUGGGACAGCCAAGGCUCCACAGUCAUUUAAAGUGAAAGGUUUCUCCACGCAGAUUUGAUUUCGAGGCAUCACUGUGCACUGAAAGGAACCAGGGUUCCUUGGAGAAACUGUUCAGGUCAGCUACGGCGCAGAAAAGGGAGAUGAGCCCAAGGAUGGCACCUGCGCCAGAGCAGUCACCCAAGCCGCUGCAGUGACAAUGCCAGACCCCUAACCCACUGAGCCACCGGGGAACUCUGACCCCAGAGUGUGUUUAAAACGACACAGGACCCAACGGGAAGGCUCACCAGUUCACCCAAGAUUGGACAAUCUGAGCAUCAAAACGAAGGAUGACAGCAACCGAAUAGACACAAACUCAUAGGCUCCCAAUAAUAACACGAAAACAAAGUCCGACAAAGAACAAAAACCCCAAACCCACUGGCUCUCUUUGGAGGCAGGGAGGAUUGAAGAUGGAAAGCAGAGACUCCAGCCUCUGGGCGGCCCUUCCUAUACGGAGAAACCCGGCAGCUGAUGGGGGGAGAUUCUUAAUAGAAGAACCCAGCUAAUUAAUACACAGGUAAUCACGUUCUUAGAAAAUUAGUUUUGCAAAGAAACGGUGAAGCAAGGGGAUGACCGCUGGGGCUAUUAAAAGCCAUCAGCAGUGAUGUGAGAACCGAGGAGACCCAUCCCGAGGAUGUUUGGAUCCUGGUUUGAGUACAUGAACCAAAAAUUUCAUUCUGGAGUCAAGGGGAAAACUGAGCAUGAGCUGCCUAUUAGGUAUCACAUGGUAUGGGCUGACCACUGAGAGUGGUUGGGUGUGAGCAGUGCACUGUGGUUGUGUUUCUUUUAAUGUCCUGAGGUAUUAGAGACACACACGGAAGUACUUAUCAGGAUUGUGAGGCCGUGUCUGCAACGGGCUUUAAAAUCCUCCAGAAGAAAUGGCGUUGGGGACAAACAGGUAUAACAUAAAAGGCAGACUCUUGGGAGCUGUUCGUCGUGGCUCAGUGGUUAACGAAUCUGACUAGGCACCGCAAGGUUGCGGAGGGGAUGCCAGUACUUGCUGUUCUUUAACCUUCCCAUGUCUUGCUUCGCAAUUUUGAUACCAAAUCAGUGUGAAACACGUUCUAGUUCUCUGUCCACAAACCACAGUCGCCCGCAUUUGGUCUGGAUGGUGGGGCCUGUGUGGCCAAAAAUGAAACUCACCCUCCUCCGUUCACAGGUUCCUCCAACGCACGUUUCACCUCCACGCACGGUCAGGUUGGGGGGUGUCUGGGAUCAGCGAAGUGGCAGCGACGCGUGACAGGUCCAACCGGAGUAUCUGAUGCCUUCGAAGAAGGCAUGGAAGGAGUGAAACCAAACACAAGUACCAAGGAAGAG
rnacentral:lncRNA from 1 species